UGAGCCGUGUCCGUACCGCUUUCA
rnacentral:miRNA from 1 species